rnacentral:rRNA from 1 species
UGGGGAAUUUUGGACAAUGGGCGCAAGCCUGAUCCAGCCAUGCCGCGUGCGGGAAGAAGGCCUUCGGGUUGUAAACCGCUUUUGUCAGGGAAGAAAUCUUCUGAGUUAAUACCUCGGGAGGAUGACGGUACCUGAAGAAUAAGCACCGGCUAACUACGUGCCAGCAGCCGCGGUAAUACGUAGGGUGCAAGCGUUAAUCGGAAUUACUGGGCGUAAAGCGUGCGCAGGCGGUUUUGUAAGACAGAGGUGAAAUCCCCGGGCUCAACCUGGGAACUGCCUUUGUGACUGCAAGGCUUGAGUGCGGCAGAGGGGGAUGGAAUUCCGCGUGUAGCAGUGAAAUGCGUAGAUAUGCGGAGGAACACCGAUGGCGAAGGCAAUCCCCUGGGCCUGCACUGACGCUCAUGCACGAAAGCGUGGGGAGCAAACAGGAUUAGAUACCCUGGUAGUCCACGCCCUAAACGAUGUCAACUGGUUGUUGGGAAGGUUCCUUCUCAGUAACGUAGCUAACGCGUGAAGUUGACCGCCUGGGGAGUACGGCCGCAAGGUUGAAACUUAAAUGAAUUGACGGGGGU